UCAUCGCAACCCAGGACAGGAAUACUCCACAGGCUCUACACUCAAACCACCCAGAACAUCACUAGUACAAUUUACAGAGCUUCAGUGACACUGGUGAAGUGAGGUGUCUGCCUGUCUGAAUGCGGUGUGCUCUUUAAGUCAAACUGAUCAACUUAGAAAAUGGAAUCACAUGUGCUUAUUUCAAGUACAUUCACAUCAAGCCAAGGAUGUAGUUAAACGGCCUUUAUUAGUUAGGCCAUAGACCAUAUUCACACAGCGGCUCAACUGCUGGAUCAUGUAAUUCUGCUGUGUUCCAUGUCAUCUGAAGAUCUCUUGUAAGUCAUCAUCCGUUUUUCUCUGGUAAUCUGAAAAGGAGAAGUAUCUUGUCAUGGUGACAGGAGGGAUUGAUGACAGCUGACUGAGUCACUCAUUGUCAAAAAUCAACUUGAUUUUGUGGAAAGUUACCUUACAAGGAAGUAAACUGUGAAGGCCACUGGAAAGAGUAAAUAAUAAAGUGACAUCUGUCCACACUGGAAGUCAACCGAUAAUAAGAACGCUGACAAAAGCUGCUGAAACCUGUCGUUGGGGGCUGUUAAAUUACCUCAGGCCUUUUGCGAAAACAGCCGCUGGCAACAGGUAGGU